UACGGAGGGUGCGAGCGUUAAUCGGAAUUACUGGGCGUGAAGCGCACGCAGGCGGUUUGUUAAGCUAGAUGUGAAAGCCCCGGGCUCAACCUGGGAUGGUCAUUUAGAACUGGCAGACUAGAGUCUUGGAGAGGGGAGUGGAAUUCCAGGUGUAGCGGUGAAAUGCGUAGAUAUCUGGAGGAACAUCAGUGGCGAAGGCGACUCCCUGGCCAAAGACUGACGCUCAUGUGCGAAAGUGUGGGUAGCGAACAGG
rnacentral:rRNA from 1 species